UACGUAGGGACCAAGCGUUGUUCGGAUUUACUGGGCGUAAAGGGCGCGUAGGCGGCGUGUUAAGUCAGUUGUGAAAUCUCCAAGCUUAACUUGGAACGGUCAACUGAUACCGAUGUGCUAGAGUGCAGAAGGGGCAACCGGAAUUCUUGGUGUAGCGGUGAAAUGCGUAGAUAUCAAGAGGAACACCUGAGGUGAAGACGGGUUGCUGGGCUGACACUGACGCUGAGGCGCGAAAGCUAGGGUAGCAAACGGG
rnacentral:rRNA from 1 species